AAAACCGAUCCCGCACAACUAUAUAUAAACAGAGGCUGAUUCCGGAAAAAAAAUCAACUAGGGCUAGGAACAGCAGCCUCUCACUUGCUCCCAUGGCUGCCUCAGCCUUCAGAUCAUUGCUUCGAACUUCUUCUGUUCGCAUCGCUGCACGAGAGGCGCGCGUCGCCUCCUUGGAGACGAUGGGCUCUCGCCCUCUUCUCUGCCUCCACAAACUGAGGCCAGCUUCCCGUCGCAUCCCGAGGUCCCCGGCUGUGUUGAGCUGCUGCGUUGAGUCUUUUCUACCAAUGCACAACGCUACUGCCACGGCAUUGAUGACUUCAAUGCUGUCUGUCUCCAUGAAAGGCUAUGGUUGGCUUUCGGAAGGAAACUAUUUUUUACAUCAAAUUGUUAUAAGGACCAGCUGAAGUUUUUCAUCAAGGAUCGAAGUAUCUGGAUAGUGUUUAACGAUGCAUUUGGACAAGAUGAUAUUUGAUGAAGCUCAACCUACUAACUUGGCCAACUUCAAUUAUUUUGCGCUCUUUUGGAAUGUAUAAUCAAGGAUUCAUUUUUCCGAGUUGAUAUCAUAGUUGAGUACUUGGAUUUCAAUUGAUCUCCCUUGAGUCCAUACUUUCACCUGUAGUACCUCAACAUGCACCAAUGGAUCAGUAUCAGGCAUGAAAUAAAAAACAGAGAAACAUAUUUUGUAAGGUUUUGGUACUAAGUAUGUCGAGAAAUAUUUAAUGUGUAUUUCAUACUUAAAUUUUGUUUUUUUUGAAUGGUUUGACGUCUUUUUGUAUUUUAUUUUUAUUUAGAAGAAGUAACCUAUAUUACUCGACC